AGAGUUUGAUCCUGGCUCAGGACGAACGCUGGCGGCGUGCUUAACACAUGCAAGUCGAACGAUGAACCACCUUCGGGUGGGGAUUAGUGGCGAACGGGUGAGUAACACGUGGGCAAUCUGCCCUUCACUCUGGGACAAGCCCUGGAAACGGGGUCUAAUACCGGAUACUGACCUGCCAAGGCAUCUUGGCGGGUCGAAAGCUCCGGCGGUGAAGGAUGAGCCCGCGGCCUAUCAGCUUGUUGGUGAGGUAAUGGCUCACCAAGGCGACGACGGGUAGCCGGCCUGAGAGGGCGACCGGCCACACUGGGACUGAGACACGGCCCAGACUCCUACGGGAGGCAGCAGUGGGGAAUAUUGCACAAUGGGCGAAAGCCUGAUGCAGCGACGCCGCGUGAGGGAUGACGGCCUUCGGGUUGUAAACCUCUUUCAGCAGGGAAGAAGCGAAAGUGACGGUACCUGCAGAAGAAGCGCCGGCUAACUACGUGCCAGCCGCCGCGGUAAUAC
rnacentral:rRNA from 1 species